rnacentral:lncRNA from 1 species
AACCAAACUCCGGACAGUGAUCGUUUCCGUUCCGGAACUGUUUUCCUUUACUCCAUCAAUCACUGCCACCGGCUUUCGAAAUUCGUUCCAAAUUUUGGAACGAUUAUCUACGCAAUAAAUUUCCUCAGAACCAUUAGUUACCGGCUUGAAAAACUUCAAUUUGAUAAUUUCUUCCCAAAAUUUAAACAACUUUUCCUAGAUUUAAAAAAUGAGCAUUAAAUUUACGUCCCACACAGGACCUUUAUUAUGUGUGCAUUCUUAUCUAAGUUAUCUC